AGAAUAAAGGAACCAUGCCGGUUGCUGUGACUCCACACACAGAGCAAAGAAAUCCUCUGCGAACCCCGUGGGUUUAUAGAAGUCUAUCAAUCACUCUGUCAGUCUUCCGGAUCAUUAUUCAAGUUGCUGUCCCCAAUUUUGCUGGAUAUAUCAGAUCAGCUCCAGCUCCAUAGCUUCCUUCUGCAGAGAACAACAGCUGUAUUGGCCUGGCAUGAUUGUGAUGCAGGACCCUAUAAAGAGGAGCCUUAAGAUCUACAGAUAACUUGAGGUGGACAGUGUGUUUUUCUUCCUAUUUUUAAAGACAACAAAGUGGAAAACUGGUGAAUAUUAUAAGGACACACUGAAGAAUGCACUCCUACUAAGGCAAUAAAAAAGAGAACAUAUGUCCAAAUUCUUUUUCAUUUAAUUCCAUUUCUCUGUGUGAAAUUUUGUACUUCCCUGCAUUAAGUGUAAGCAAAUAUUUUUCAUGUAACAUUUUCAAUUAAAUUAAAUAUUGCCAUUUAAUUCACAUGAAUUGAACACCUACUAUGUUCCUGGUAAUUCAGUGUACAAACACGACUAAAAUAUCUUUUCUGAGCUCUUUGCAGGCUAUUUGAGAAAGUUGGUAAACUGAUAAGCUCAACACAAAGCAACAAGUGGUGUAAUAGAGGUUUGCACAGCAAGCAAAGCAUCUGACUUCCCCUCCCCCUCAAUUUAAAAUUCUAUG